rnacentral:rRNA from 1 species
UACGAAGGGGCUAGCGUUGCUCGGAAUCACUGGCGUAAGCGCACGUAGGCGGAUCUUUAAGUCAGGGGGUGAAAAAUCUGAGCUCAACUCCAGAACUGCUUUUUGAUACUGAAGAUCUUGAGUCGGGGAGAGUGAGUGAAAAACUGCGAGUGUAGAGUGAAAAUUCGUAGAUAUUCGCAAAAAGACACCAGUGGCGAAGGGGGCGCUCACUGCCCCCGAUAUGACGCUGAGGCACGGAAAAAAGCGUGGGGGGAGCAAACAGGGGGAUUAAGAAAAAACCCCCCCGUAGUCCCCAG